rnacentral:ncRNA from 1 species
GAGAGCACAGUAUGAUGAAAGUUGUAAGCUGUGUUCGGGGGGAGUUAUUGUCUAUCGUUGGCCUCUAUGGUAGAACCCGUCGGGGAGGCCUGAGAGGCGGUGGUUUACCCUGU